CCUGGUUGAUCCUGCCAGUAGUCAUAUGCUUGUCUCAAAGAUUAAGCCAUGCAUGUCUAAGUGCACGCCUUCAUACGGUGAAACCGCGAAUGGCUCAUUAAAUCAGCUAUGGUUUAUUGGAUCAUACCCGUUAAAUGGAUAACUGUAAUAACUCUAGAGCUAAUACAUGCCCCGAAGCCCUGACCCGCGAGGGAAUGGGUGCACUUAUUAGAUCAGAAGCCAACCAGGUAGUGUUCUUCUGCCUUCGGGUGGGAGCUCCGCUGCCUGUCGUCCUUCUGGUGACUCUGGAUAAUUGUUACAGAUCGCAGUCGGCCUUGCGUCGGCGACGGGUCCUUCAAAUGUCUGCCCUAUCAACUUUCGAUGGUAGGUGACCUGCCUACCAUGGUGAUAACGGGUAACGGGGAAUCAGGGUUCGAUUCCGGAGAGGGAGCCUGAGAAACGGCUACCACUUCCAAGGGAGGCAGCAGGCGCGCAAAUUACCCACUCCCAGUACGGGGAGGUGGUGACGAAAAAUACCGAUGCGGGACUCUUAUUGAGGCUCCGUAAUCGGAAUGAGUGAACUCUAAAUCCUUUCACGAGGAUCAAUUGGAGGGCAAGUCUGGUGCCAGCAGCCGCGGUAACUCCAGCUCCAAUAGCGUAUAUUAAAGUUGCUGCAGUUAAAAAGCUCGUAGUUGGAUCUCGGUAUCACUGUCGCCUGCCAGUCCUCGGCUGAUUGUGUCGGUGUAGGUGGGACCUUGCUUCGCUCGGUGCCCCUUGCCCAGGCAUGGUCAUGCUCGAGUUGGCGUGGCGGUGGUGUCACCUUUCAGCCAUGUCUGUGGUGAAAUACCCGCAGGUGUAGGCGAGUGUCAGGCGGUGCUCUGCGACAGUAGGGUCCGUCGGCUCGUCUGCAUGCCUUUGGAUGCCCUUCAAAAGGUGUCUAUGGGCGGAUGGCACGUUUACUUUGAACAAAUUUGAGUGCUCAAACCAGGCCGAUGUCGCCUGAAAAGUUUUGCAUGGAAUAAUGGAAUAGGACUUCGGUUCUAUUUCGUUGGUUUUCGGAUCCGAAGUAAUGAUCAAAAGAGACAGGCGGGGACGUUUGUAUGGUUGCGCUAGAGGUGAAAUUCAUGGACCGUAACCAGACAAACUAAAGCGAAAGCAUUCGUCAAGCAUGUUUUCAUUGGCCAUGAGCGAAAGUCAGAGGCUCGAAGACGAUCAGAUACCGUCCUAGUUCUGACCAUAAACGAUGCCAACUGACGAUCCGUGGUGGUAGUAUUUUAACCAUCCCCACGGGCAGUCCCCGGGAAACCUUUAAGUCUUUGGGUUCCGGGGGAAGUAUGGUUGCAAAGCUGAAACUUAAAGGAAUUGACGGAAGGGCACCACCAGGAGUGGAGCCUGCGGCUUAAUUUGACUCAACACGGGAAAACUCACCCGGCCCGGACACUGUGAGGAUUGACAGAUUGAUAGCUCUUUCUUGAUUUGGUGGUUGGUGGUGCAUGGCCGUUCUUAGUUGGUGGAGCGAUUUGUCUGGUUAAUUCCGAUAACGAACGAGACUCUAGCCUGCUAAUUAGUACGCCUGUCCUCUGUUCCUGUGCUGGCGGCGUUUUGGCGAAACUGCUCACUUCAGCUGACUACUGUCGGGCCGCGCAUUUCUCUGCGCGCGUGUGCUGCGAGCCCUUCCCGGGGCGAGUGGUGCGCGCACGUGUGGUGGCGUGGACUGCGGUAGGAGGUGUGAGCGGUGGGUUCAGCGCUAGCCUCCGGGUACGGCGCAGGUGUGUCUACUUCUUAGAGGGACAAGCAUUACGAAUGUGCACGAAAUUGAGCAAUAACAGGUCUGUGAUGCCCUUAGAUGUCCGGGGCCGCACGCGCGCUACAAUGACGGUGCCAACGAGUCUGACCUUCUGGCCCGAAAGGGUUGGGCAAACUGGUCAAUCACCGUCAUGACAGGGAUCGGGGCUUGGAAUUGUUCCCCGUGAACGAGGAAUUCCUAGUAAGUGCAAGUCAUAAGCUUGCGCUGAUUACGUCCCUGCCCUUUGUACACACCGCCCGUCGCUACUACCGAUUGAAUGGUUUAGUAAGGUCCUCGGAUUGGCGCCAUUGCAGUGCCAGCCGCAAGGUUGGUGCUCGACAGGUGCCGAGAAGACGACCAAACUUGAUCAUUUAGAGGAAGUAAAAGUCGUAACAAGGUUUCCGUAGGUGAACCUGCGGAAG
rnacentral:rRNA from 1 species